CCUACGGGAGGCAGCAGUGGGGAAUAUUGGGCAAUGGGCGCAAGCCUGACCCAGCAACGCCGCGUGAAGGAAGAAGGCUCUCGGGUUGUAAACUUCCUUUAAGGGGGAAGAGGAGAAGACGGUACCUCUUGAAUAAGCCACGGCUAACUACGUGCCAGCAGCCGCGGUCAUACGUAGGUGGCAAGCGUUGUCCGGAUUUACUGGGUGUAAAGGGCGUGCAGCCGGGAGGACAAGUCAGAUGUGAAAUCCCGCGGCUCAACCGCGGAACGGCAUAUGAAACUGUUUUUCUUGAGUACCGGAGAGGUCAUCGGAAUUCCUGGUGUAGCGGUGAAAUGCGUAGAUAUAAGGAAGAACACCAGUGGCGAAGGCGGAUGACUGGACGGCAACUGACGGUGAGGCGCGAAAGCGUGGGGAGCGAACAGGAUUAGAUACCCUAGUAGUC
rnacentral:rRNA from 1 species